GAGGUCAUUACUUAAUACAUGCGCAAGGUCACUUUCACCGAUGUUUCAGUCUAGAACCGGAAUAUCAGAGCAUGCUCACGUUGGACUCAUGUAUGACAGAUGUUUGGCUCCUAUGGGGUGUUUGACAAAAUUCCAAUCAGGUUGUUCUUAUAUUUUAUUUCAGUCUUCUGAAUUUUGGUUGAGCAGAGACACAGCAUCAUAACUGGGUUGUUUAGUUAACAAAUAUAAGUUCUGAUUAGCACUUAUAUAGACCUAUAUAGUGGCCUUUUGUGGUAACGGCCACAUCUUCUAUCAUCUAUUACUGAAUAUUUCAUUCUACAUAGUAUAGAAGCAAGUUAUGAGCCAGAGGGCGAAGUACCGCAAGGCAAUGAUGGGGCACCAAUAAUGAGAAUUGCCAUGCAUUUAUCCAGUUUGUGCAACAAUCCGUAUAACUAUUGUUUACUAAUUGGAAAAUUAUUUACGCGAGUAUUGCAUUGUAUUGUAUCCUUAAGAAUUAUUUCCCAGUGAUGAUUAAUAUGAGGAUCUAUAUAGUUCUAAUGUUGCUAUCUAUCUUUGCUAAAAAGAUGUGCUCUAUUUGGAUCUUCGAUUGACAUCGGACAAAAUUCCGAUGCAUGUCUUUGCUAAAAAGAUGUGCUCUAUUUGGAUCUUCGAUUGACAUACCAAGACAUCCGAGUAGUAAGUGUUGAAACUAAUUCCAGUCAUAUGUCUCCUAUGCAUUGCUAGAUUGCAUCAUUAUAAUUAUUUCCUAUGGAUGGAGAAUUUACUAACUGUUCAUGGUGUGUCUUGAAUGUGCAUGGCCACAUUGGUAGACAACUAAGUUGUGGAUAUCGAGGUUAGUACGAUUUGUAGGUCCACAGUCAACCUAACCCACACACUAUACUAUUAUUAUAGCAGAUCAAGGAAAUUGUUCCAAGGAUUAGGAAUACCAUCAUUUUACAAGAGUUUGCAUCAUUUUACUCAUGCACUUAUCGAGAGAGCAUGUCAGAUAAAACAGAUUAUCAGGGGCAUCACCAUAUACUUUGAAAUAGAGAACAUUAGUUAAAUCUUCUUGGAGUUCUUAAGAGCAUUUAUGCUAUGAUUAUUUGUCUUUAGAACCAAACUAUUUUCUGAUUGCUGAGUGUGUUCACUAACUUUUAUGAUUAUUUGUCUUCACUAUUUUAUGAAGAGCCGCCGUAAUGUUAUAUCUUCUACACUCAUCUCUUAUUUAUAGUAGAUUUUCAUGUAUGAUAAAUAUAGGGAUUUCUAAAUUGUUACAAGUGUGAAGUCGGGGAACGGGCACCAAAGCCUGCCCUAAAACAAGCAUUUCCUACUAUGUUUAUAACUUUAUGUACUUUAUCGUAAGUUCAUUCUAAGUUUUAUCAUCAUUAUGUGUAUCGGCACAAGUUUCACUGGAUCGCGCGCCAAGACGCACCCUACGGCCUAUAUGGAUGAUGAUUUUUGUAUUCCUUCCUUUCUUGCUAUAAUAUUUUUUUUGUUAUGAUUCCCUGGUUGUAUAUAAAUGUUUGUCUAUAUUUACUGUGGUUCGCCACGUUUUGUAAAACCUGUGAAGAUUAAUUAUAAUUUUACCA